GACGAACGCUGGCGGCGUGCCUAAUACAUGCAAGUAGAACGCACAGUUUAUACCGUAGCUUGCUACACCAUAGACUGUGAGUUGCGAACGGGUGAGUAACGCGUAGGUAACCCGCCUGGUAGCGGGGGAUAACUAUUGGAAACGAUAGCUAAUACCGCAUAAUAUUGAUUAUUGCAUGAUAAUUGAUUGAAAGAUGCUAUUGCAUCACUACCAGAUGGACCUGCGUUGUAUUAGCUAGUAGGUGAGGUAACGGCUCACCUAGGCGACGAUACAUAGCCGACCUGAGAGGGUGAUCGGCCACACUGGGACUGAGACACGGCCCAGACUCCUACGGGAGGCAGCAGUAGGGAAUCUUCGGCAAUGGACGAAAGUCUGACCGAGCAACGCCGCGUGAGUGAAGAAGGUUUUCGGAUCGUAAAGCUCUGUUGUAAGAGAAGAACGGGUGUGAGAGUGGAAAGUUCACACUGUGACGGUAUCUUACCAGAAAGGGACGGCUAACUACGUG
rnacentral:rRNA from 1 species